AUGGAGAAAUAGCUUCAGAGCACGAUUCUAUGUAACACGUACAAAAAGGAGCUAUUUACCACCAACAAUGGCUAUAAAUCCAUGCAGAAAAAUAUUUUGCAGUAAUUAGAAGAGUCAGAGCUUAAAAGAGGAAAUCACAUCUGAGAAGUUAAUUGGGGUGAAACUGUGGAUUACAACUGGGCCAAGGGAAAAAUUUACUGCAGCUGAGUUUGAAGUCCUGAAGAAGUACCUUGACAGUGGUAAUGAUAUCCUUGUGAUGCUAAGAGAAGGUGGAGAAUCCAGAUCUGAUACCAAUAUCCACCUUUUACUAGAAGAAUAUGCAAUCAUGGUUAACAAUGAUGCUGUUGUUAGAAACAUGUAUUACAAGUAUUUUCAUCCUAAAGAAGUUCUAGUUUCCAAUGGAGUUUUGAACAGGGAAAUUAGCCGAGCUUCAGGAAAGGCCAUGCCUGGAAUCAUUGACGAGGAAAGCCGUGGCAACAAUGCCCAGGCUCUCACCUUUGUCUAUCGUUUUGGUGCCACAUUGAGUGUCAUGAAACAAGCAGUGGCUGUUCUGUUUGCAGGCUCUGUCUGCUUCCCACUUAACAGAACCAUUCUGGUUUUCUAUCAAAGAGCCAAGGUGGGAAGCUGGCAGUGCUUGGCUCAUGUCGCACGUUCACUGAUCAAUAUUUGGAUAAAGAAGAAAACAGAAAAAUCAUAGAUGUUGUUUUCCAGUGGUUCAUGACAGAAGAUAUCCAACUAAACCAGACUGAUGCUGAGGACCCUGAGAUUUCAGACUACAUGAUGCUGCCUGACACAGCCACCCUGUCAGAGCACCUUUCAGUGUGUCUCCAGGAGGGCAAGGAGAACCAGCGGGACUUUACCACCCUCUUUGGCCUGUCCAUUUACCAGCUGGAUACCACCUCCCUCCCCAAGGUCAUCAAGGCUCACGAGCAGCUAAACGUGAAACAUGAACUACUCCAGCUCAUCCAACCUCAGUUUGAGACACCACUGCCGGCCCUUCAGCCUGUGGUUUUCCCACCUAAUUUCAGGGAAUCACCACCUCCUCCUCUGGAGCUGUUUGACUUAGACGAGACAUUCUCCUCUGAGAAGGCACAGCUUACUCAGAUUGCCAAUAAGUGUACUGAAGAAGACCUGGAAUUCUAUGUCAGGAAGUAUGGUGACAUUCUUGGAGUAACCAGUAAACUACCAAAGGACCAACAAGAUGCCAAACAUAUCCUCGAACACAUCUUCUUCCAAGUGGUGGAGUUCAAGAAACUGAACCAGGAACAUGACAUUGACAGAAGUAAAACAGCAUUCCAGAACAAUUUCUGAAGACUGUGCCUCUUGAACCAUUUUCUGCCUCCUGACUCUUCUGUCUUUGUAAUCUAUUUUUGAAUUGUUUCUCAACUCCUUAUCAAAAUUGUCUAUAUACUCUUUCCUCUAGGAGCUUUGGAAGGUCUGUGCAUUUUCUGUAGUAUCCAGAUAGGCAUAAGAUUUCUAAUUUAUAAAAUCCUUAUAUAAGAUACGCUCCAUUUUUCAUUAAAUCUAUGUUGAAUCUG